rnacentral:rRNA from 1 species
UCUCUUGAGAGCGGCGGACGGGUGAGUAAUGCCUAGGAAUCUGCCUAGUGGUGGGGGAUAACGUUCGGAAACGGACGCUAAUACCGCAUACGUCCUACGGGAGAAAGCGGGGGACCUUCGGGCCUCGCGCCAUUAGAUGAGCCCAAGUCGGAUUAGCUAGUUGGUGGGGUAAUGGCUCACCAAGGCUACGAUCCGUAGCUGGUCUGAGAGGAUGAUCAGCCACACUGGGACUGAGACACGGCCCAGACUCC